CUAGAUCGUACUGUGCACCGUCGCUUUCGGUAGCAAUGCUCAUCUGUGCCGUUCCCAAACCCCAACCAGGCAGCUUGCUUCUUUUCCUGUGAGUUGUUACAUCAUUGAUUUCUUCAGAAAAAUUUUAAAAAAGGGGAAGAAUUGUUUUUUUUUGAAGAGGCUUCUUUGGGUUUUAUUUAUUUUAUUUAUUUUAAUUUUAAUUUCUGGGCAAUUCUUUUAAUUUUGAAAAAUCCAAUUAUCAUCACAUGGGUUCGGAAUCGAACUCGCCCUCGCCCUCGUCGUCGUCGUCGCCGAGUGGGAAGAGAAGCAGAGAUCCAGAAGAUGAGGUUUAUCUUGAUAAUCUCCACUCUCACAAGCGUUAUCUCAGCG
rnacentral:lncRNA from 1 species